GGGUCUGUCCAUUGGUCGGGCUUUACGGUCCGUACUGGUGAGAUGGGUUCCUACCUUCUGAAUAACCUGCAUGCCAUUUAGUUGGUGCGCCGGGGAGGCAGAGCUAUUACCUUGAAAAAAUUAGAGUGCUUAAAGCAGGCUAUUGCUUGAAUAGAUUAGCAUGGAAUAAUAAAAUAGGACGGCAUGGUUCUAUUUUGUUGGUUUCUAGGAUCACCGUA
rnacentral:rRNA from 1 species